CAGACGCCAAGCCACAACACAUAGAUACCUAUUUACCACAUUAUUUAAUUGUUGGCGGUUCCUCCACGGAAAAUAUAACAUUUUUUGAUCCCAUCUGAUAAAAGUGCUUCUUCGCCUGCAGACGCCAAUAAGGAAUCUUCAUUUGCUGUUACGGUACACACUGAAAAUAUUGCGCCUCCGAAUAAGCGAAAGAAAUUUGAGAAAUCUUAUGUGUGGAAGUUUUUUGAAAAAUGCCAA
rnacentral:sRNA from 1 species